GCCUGACCCAAGUGAAAGGUUUGCUCUCGGCACGCGCUCAGUGUUCUCCGUCUCCCAGCAACGCCCUAAGAGGCCGGCCUGGGACUGAGUGGCACGGGCUGCACCUGCUGGUAAUCACGCACCUGUUCCUGAUCAGCCAUCCCUACCUCUUAAGGAGAGACCAGAAUUCCAUUCCCUGCUGGAUUGUUAAGUUGCGUACCAUCACCUGCUCCACCUUUGAUGAACCACCCCAACUGGCUCAUUUCAGUGUGAAGAUUCAGUGGUUCUACUCCAAGCUCCUUUGAGAUGAUAGUGCUCUGCACCUUGUCUCCAACUGUGAGCCCAGCCACCCUAUGAAGGAAAUUUCAGAUUAGAUUCAACUUUAUUGUCACUGCACAGAGUACUGAGAUGAUGAAAUGCAGUGCAAAAAGUGCGAAGUACAUAUGUUUAAGUAAUAAAAUAACAGUGAGGGGUAGCUGUGAAUAUGAUGAUCUAUACGACAUGUACUGCAGUUUCAUUUCGGACCUUGGAACGUUUAUUGACUGGUAAAUAGAGAGCUUCACUUUCUGCUCCCUCUUCAGAAUGACAGCCUAGAAAAAUGCUUGCAUUACUGCUGAUGCUGAACCGAUCCCCUUCUUGCUUUCAACAGCUCCAAUACUAACAUAGCAUAGUGGACACAGAUGAUGUAUCUGAAGGCGAAAGGGGAAAAAUGUGGACCGUAAACUACUACCAAUGGUGUCUAUCACAGUUCACAUACCCACUUUCUGCUUCAACUAUGACCUACUGCUUUUACCAUAGUGACACUCCCCCAUAAUUCUUGAGUACUGAGGGGUUAAUAAUUACCUACGUUCCAGUUAGACCUCUAAAUAAUUUGGGUAAACUGUGUGUAUACAACAUAUUAUGAUGGUCUGGCUGCUUCUUUUUCUUCCUCUGUUUGACGUAUUUUUAGUUCAAAGAUCUUUGCAAUUACUUAGGCAAGAAGAUAUUUUAUCAGUGCUGGUGGCUAGAGCUAUGAGAAUAAAAUCCAAUUUGUAAAUAAAAUAAUUUUUUAAAAUCUAAAUCUUUUUUAAAACUUAUGACAAUGUCUUUUUAGCGACUGAGUUGUAUCAAAAAAAGAUAAAGACAGAC